UACGUAGGGGGCAAGCGUUGUCCGGAAUCAUUGGGCGUAAAGCGCGUGUAGGCGGUUCGGUAAGUCGGCUGUGAAAGUCCAGGGCUCAACCCUGGGAUGCCGGUCGAUACUGCCGGACUAGAGUUCGGAAGAGGCGAGUGGAAUUCCCGGUGUAGCGGUGAAAUGCGCAGAUAUCGGGAGGAACACCAAUGGCGAAGGCAGCUCGCUGGGACGUUACUGACGCUGAUGCGCGAAAGCGUGGGGAGCAAACGGG
rnacentral:rRNA from 1 species